GGGCUCGGUUGUUAAGGCUGAUA
rnacentral:siRNA from 1 species